CGAAAUAUAAUUUUCCAUAAAUCAUUCAAAUCUCCAGAGCUUUUUAUAUUUAAAUUGACCGAGCUUGUAAUACGUGAUCGAAUUUUUAUGUAAUGGCACCGAAUUCAAUGAGAAUACAGGAUGAAUGCAUAACGACGACAUUCGUGCCCCGUUUGACGUUAAACCAGCAUGCAUCGCGUGUUUCCUGACGUACAGGUUAUGUUGUAUAUACAACAACGACGCCAUGUUGGCUGUCGUGAGUUUACAUCGUGACGCCGAUCAGCUGACGCAUCAUAAUAAUGCGCAUACAUACACGACAGACCACAAAAAAGGCAGCUGCAUAAAAGGUCAUUCCCGUAAAGAAAAAGUAUAAUGGCCACGAACGCUUUAAAUCUCCAUACACGAAAUAUUUUUCUUUAAAGAGAUCGACGGACAUGCUAAUAAAAAUAUGGUAAUCGAUAAUCCAACUCGGCAAAAGAUAAUCCAACUAGGUUAAAACGCGCUUAUCGAUUAAACCGUCUGUCAAAACUGUACUCACAAUCGGUAUAGGUCGCAGAGGGAGACAGAGAGAAAGAGCGAGAGAGCGACAUUUAAAUACACGGGGCACGAAGUUGGACAGGAAAAGAGACACAUGGACCUCCCGGAAAAUCGAUUCUGAAUUCUUUUGCGCUACCACGUGCCACGAUCGCAUAAAGCUGCACGCGACCCAAGACGUCCAAUACCGAAGGUAAUUCCUGAUCCGGAGAGUUAGCGAACCCCAAAUGCAAAUCGGCGGCCAUGGUUGCGUGCAUAUAAUGAAUGGGGCCGGGUUCGAGUCGACGGCCGAUCAGAAAGCCGAUCGGGGAUCGUCGAUCGAUCGACAGUGGCGUCUGGAUGCGUCCCGAAGUUGAUACGUCGGGAAACCGCUUGGAACCGGGCAAGUAUCGGUGAAAUGCAAUUUCACGGACCGGCGCUAAUGCUACGUCAUAAACCGUAGCUUCGGGCACAAUCUGCAACCGAUCAUCCGUCGAUCAAACCGUUCGGAGCCUUCCGAAGGGAGCAUCGCGACUUCAAGCCUUCCGGAAAAUUAUUAUAGAUCCCGUAGCGGGCCUCGUUGAUAACGCUGGGACCCGGGUUCGCGUGGCUCUUUCUACCAAACUCGUAAAAUUAGCUGCUCGAGGCUCGGCGUCAUUGUUCAGCCGAGGUCCGACUUGGUUCAACGCCAAUUUGAACGAUAUUCGUGUUGGAUUGCUUGCUCAAACGCGACUCGGGCGGGUUAGGAUUUCAUUUUGAUAAGUGGAUGGAUCUGACCAGGAACGAAGUAUAAUCAACCAGUUAUUAAACCAACGAUAACACAAUUAUGUUUGGCAGCAACAACGUUUCGGUGGCGUCAUUGUUCUAUUAAAUGUGCUAACAUAAUUUGAACGUUUCGUUGCGAAGUUACCGUUUCAAGAGAUAUGUGAACAUUGGAACACCACCAGAGCAGUCGAAAUGAUUGGUUUCUGAAUUUUUAGAUAAAAUUCUUUAUUGUAUAUUACGACAGAUUUAUUGUACAUUACAAUUCAAUCUUG